rnacentral:rRNA from 1 species
UACGUAGGGGGCAAGCGUUGUCCGGAUUUAUUGGGCGUAAAGAGCGUGUAGGCGGUUCGGUAAGUCCGCUGUGAAAGUCGGGGGCUCAACCCUCGGAUGCCGGUGGAUACUGUCGGACUAGAGUACGGAAGAGGCGAGUGGAAUUCCUGGUGUAGCGGUGAAAUGCGCAGAUAUCAGGAGGAACACCGAUUGCGAAGGCAGCUCGCUGGGACGUUACUGACGCUGAGACGCGAAAGCGUGGGGAGCAAACAGG